AUUGAACGCUGGCGGCAGGCCUAACACAUGCAAGUCGAACGAGUGGCGGACGGGUGAGUAAUGUCUGGGAAACUGCCUGAUGGAGGGGGAUAACUACUGGAAAAGGUAGCUAAUACCGCAUACCAUCAGAUGUACCCAGAUGGGAUUAGCUGUGUGGUGGGGUAACGGCUCACCAAGGCGACGAUCCCUAGCGGGUCUGAGAGGAUGACCAGCAAAACUGUAACUGAGACACGGCCCAGACUCCUACGGGAGGCAGCAGUGGGGAAUAUUGCACAAUGGGCGCAAGCCUGAUGCAGCCAUGCCGCGUGUAUGAAGAAGGCCUUCGGGUUGUAAAGUACUUUCAGUGGGGAGGCGUUACCCACAGAAGAAGCAACGGCUAACUCCGUGCCAGCCGCCGCGGUAAUUC
rnacentral:rRNA from 1 species